GAUGAACGCUGGCGGCGUGCUUAAUACAUGCAAGUCGAGCGAACAGACGAGGAGCUUGCGCCUCUGACGUGAGGCGCGGACGGGUGAGUAACACGUGGAUAACCUACCUAUAUGAGUGGGAUAACUUCGGGAAACCGGAGCUAAUACCGUAUAAUAUAUUGAACCGCAGGGGUCAAUAGGGAAAUACGGUUUUUCUGUCACUUAUAGAUGGAUCUGCGCGUCAUUAGCGAGUUGGUAAGGUAACGGCUUACCAAGCGAACGGUGCGUAGCCGACCUGAGAGGGGGGUCGCCCACCCUGGAGCUUGGCCCCGCUCAAUGCUCCUGAGGCAGGCAGCAGUCGGGAACCUUCCGCAAUGGGGGGAAGUUUGGCGGAGCGGCGCCGAGUCAGUUAUAAAGGUCUUCCGAUCGUAAAACUCUGUUAUUAGGGAAGAACAAAUGUCUACGUAGCUGUGCACGUAUUGACGGUACCUAAUCAGAAAGCCCCGGCUAACUACGUG
rnacentral:rRNA from 1 species